rnacentral:rRNA from 1 species
CAGUAGCCGCGGUAAUACAGAGGGUGCAAGCGUUAAUCGGAAUUACUGGGCGUAAAGCGCGCGUAGGUGGUUUGUUAAGUUGGAUGUGAAAGCCCCGGGCUCAACCUGGGAACUGCAUCCAAAACUGGCAAGCUAGAGUACGGUAGAGGGUGGUGGAAUUUCCUGUGUAGCGGUGAAAUGCGUAGAUAUAGGAAGGAACACCAGUGGCGAAGGCGACCACCUGGACUGAUACUGACACUGAGGUGCGAAAGCGUGGGGAGCAAACAGGAUUAGAUACCCGCGUAGUCCCUGUCUCUUAUAA